AGGGAUAUAGCUUAGUUGUUAGAGUACUUGCCUCACAUGCAUAAGGCUCUGGGUUCAAUCCCCAGUAACACAC
rnacentral:tRNA from 1 species